ACUGAUCAAGCCCUGCCUAUAAAGGAAGCAGGAAGUGGAGGGUUCCUUCUUUAAUCUUCAAAGCUGCACAGAGCAGGCAGCAACAGAAAUUUUUCACUCCUUAUUCAAUGUGGUGAAUAAGUCAAAAGAGUAACUAACAUUCUGACUCACUCCAUACGUGCACCAUACAUGUGGAGGACUGCACACACACACCUGUGGAGGAUGUAGAGGAGCAUCUCUUUGCUCCCUUCAGGUGCAGCUCCUGCAGCUGAUGAUUAAAUUGAAAGACACAUGGGCAGCCUGACCAAAACAAGAUGAAGAGCUGUUAGCAUGUCUGCUACACCAUGCUGCCUCACUUCCUUCAACAUUUGGUGUUUCCUCGCUCUGAACUCCGAAGAGUAGGAUCUGUGCUGCAGCUGGAAGGAGUUUCUUUAGAUUAAAGUUUACUUGUUCCUGUUAGCCCUUGUGUUUUUUUGGCUUUCUUUCAGCUUUUGUUUAGUUAUAGAUUAAAUUCUGUUUUCUUUAAUUUUCAUAUGCAGUUUUCUCUAAAGACACUUUGAUAAUAAAAUGUUAAAGUCUUAA